rnacentral:rRNA from 1 species
CCUACGGGUGGCAGCAGUGAGGAAUAUUGGUCAAUGGGCGCGAGCCUGAACCAGCCAAGUCGCGUGAGGGAUGAAGGUUCUAUGGAUCGUAAACCUCUUUUAUAAGGGAAUAAAGUGUGGGACGUGUCCCUUUUUGUAUGUACCUUAUGAAUAAGGAUCGGCUAACUCCGUGCCAGCAGCCGCGGUAAUACGGAGGAUCCGAGCGUUAUCCGGAUUUAUUGGGUUUAAAGGGUGCGUAGGUGGCUUUUUAAGUCAGCGGUGAAAGUUUGUGGCUCAACCAUAAAAUUGCCGUUGAUACUGGGGGGCUUGAGUAUGGUUGAGGCAGGCGGAAUGCGUGGUGUAGCGGUGAAAUGCUUAGAUAUCACGCAGAACCCCGAUUGCGAAGGCAGCCUGCCAAGCCAUGACUGACGCUGAUGCACGAAAGCGUGGGGAUCAAACAGGAUUAGAUACCCGUGUAGUU